rnacentral:pre_miRNA from 1 species
AACGUACUCCCUCCGUUCUGAAUUACUUGUCGUAGGUAUGGAUGUAUCUAGAUGUAUUUUAGUUUUAGAUACAUCCAUUUCUGCGACGAGUAAUUUGAAACGGAGGGAGUAAGUG